CGUAGGGUGCAGGCGUUAAUCGGAAUUACUGGGCGUAAAGCGUGCGCAGGCGGCUCCUUAAGUCAGAUGUGAAAUCCCCGGGCUUAACCUGGGAACUGCGUUUGAUACUGAGGGGCUAGAGUGUGGAAGAGGGGGGUGGAAUUCCAGGUGUAGCAGUGAAAUGCGUAGAUAUCUGGAGGAACACCAAUGGCGAAGGCAGCCCCCUGGGCUAACACUGACGCUCAUGCACGAAAGCGUGGGGAGCAAACAGGAUUAGAUACCCUGGUAGUCCACGCCCUAAACGAUGUCAACUGGUUGUCGGGGAAGUAAUUCCUUGGUAACGAAGCUAACGCGUGAAGUUGACCGCCUGGGGAGUACGGCCGCAAGGCUA
rnacentral:rRNA from 1 species